rnacentral:rRNA from 1 species
AUGUCGUUUUGGUACUUGUAUGUUCAUACGGCCAACCAUUGGCCAGUAGUUGGUUGUGCAGCAGGAGAUGAUAUGACUUCAGUUCUUCUUCACAUAAACAUCUCGAUCCUUAUUUUUUCUUCAUACAGCCAACCAUUGGCCAGGUACUACUAUUCUAAAGUAACUGAAUUUAUCUUAUUUCAUUUGAUUAGUACUGUUGGGCUGCUGGUAGUUAUUGUUCAGAAGCCUGAUUGUAUAUUGAUGGUGAACUCUGUCUGUCUUUAUCCCAAUUUAAGAUGUUAUGGUGCUACACAACUGUAUAUAGCGUGA